GGUUGAUGAAAUUGUCACUUUCAAUCAAAUAACACCACGUUUUCGCGACGGCGCGGAACCGCUUGAGCGAUUUCACUGGCAGGCGGCGGAGGAUAUCCUCGAUGAGCUCGAACGGCAGAUUCGGCAUUCCUAUAGUUGGCUUGAUUUUGAAGAAUUCGAAAAAGAUAAAGAGAAAAAAGAAAAACAGAUAGGGGUGGUUGGUGAUAAAAAAAUGACUUGUCGUGUCGGAGAUGGAAAAGGUGAAUGGAGUUGGAAACCGGCGGCGGUAAGUCUGUAGGUGUCGUCUCAUUUGAGAGGCCUUGUUUUCUUUAUCUUUUAUUAUUGCAGGAAUUUAUCUUCUUUUUCACUUUUUUUUAAUUACUUUUGAGAACUUGCCAAGCACUUUCUCAGAAUCCAAGUUGUUGAUUCGAUUAGUAUUUUAUUUUACACUAUGCAUCCAUAACGCGGUAUACUAUAUUGAGUGCUUGGAGAAUAGACUUUUAUUAUUCACGGUCCCCAAUCCUUUAGCAUACUAUUUGAGGUAUUUAUUACACUAUUUUUUAACAUUUAUCUACUUUUUUUCAUCUUAGCUUUUGCAUUUCUGUAAUUAUAUUACACUAUUUUUGAACAUUUGUACUUUUUUUUCAUCUUUUUUUUUGUAAUUCAAGGACUGAAAAUCUGAAAUAACUUUGGUAUAUACUUUCGUUCUUUUUAUUUAGGUA